GUACCGUGAGGGAAAGAUGAAAAGAACUUUGAAAAGAGAGUUAAACAGUACGUGAAAUUGUUGAAAGGGAAACGAUUGAAGUCAGUCAUACCAACGGGAAAUCAACCUUUUGAGCUUGGUCUCGUGGGUUUUGAAGAGUUUCAAAGCCUUCGGAUUCGCGAGAUUGGGAUCUCUCGGUGUACUUUCUCGUACGGUUAGUCAACAUCGGUUUUGAAUGUCAUAAAAUGACUGGAGGAAUGUAGCUUCGAUCUCGUAUUGAAGUGUUAUAGCCUUUGGUAGAUGUGAUGUUUGAGACCGAGGAUUGCAACGGAUACCCUUCAGGGCUAUUCGUCUGAUCUCUGAUACGUUGCCUUGAUGUUGAAAGCUUGCUUAUGAUGUUAGGGUAUUACGGUCAAAAGGUUAGAACGAAUUACAUUCGUUAAGG
rnacentral:rRNA from 1 species